CCCCUUUCUCACGUUUCUCUCCUCGAAAUCCCAUUAUAUAUAUAUAUCCUCCUUCCUGUCCCUUUAUUUUCAUCACCAAAUCUCUCUUUCAGUUUCUACUUCCAUUUUCUUGCCAGGCUUCACCAAAAAUGAACCCAAUUAAGACACGUUCUCUGGAAGUCACCGUCAUAUUCGGCCACAACCUCUGUAUCGGUCAAAAUCCGGUGACGGAGGACAUGCAUGUCGUGGUCCGGACGGAGUCGUUAAACUGUUGGACCACGAAAAUGGCGAAGCAAGCAGGUGAUGGCUCAGGUUCAGGGUACUGUGCUAUAUGGAACGACAAGUUGAUGGUGGAGGCGCCAUUACAUGCAAAGUCUAUUAUGUUCGAAGUUGAGUGUAAGACGUCGAAAGGCGUGGUUCGAUCCAUUGGGCUGGCGAGAAUAGCGAUUUCGGACGUUCUACCAAACGAAGAGGGAUGUUUGUCAGAGGUGUUGAGUUACAGGUUGAGGAACUGGGAGGGAAGGAGAAGUGGGGUCAUCAGUUUCUCAGUGAAGACGAAGAAGCAUGAAGAUGACGGUUCAAUGUGGUCGGGGUCUGGGGGCAUCCAUCAUCACAUGGAUGUUCAAAAUAAGGGACUCGUUUUGGGGAUUCCUGUUUGGUGGAAUCAUCUUCGCAUACAUGUUUGAGAAAUUCAACACACACGCGCGCGCUCUUUCGUUGAUUAACAUGAAGUAACCGUUGAUAGUGGUGUUUAAAAUUAAAAAAAAAAGUACAAACGAUAUUAUUUCUUAGGAUAAUACUUGCUUUCAUUAUUUAUGUUUACAAUAUGUAAGAAUAAUGAUGGAGAAAACAGACCUGCACUCUUUGAAGGUCUUGCAUUAUAUAUUAUUUAUGAAAAAUCUUAUCCGUGUAUAAUUUAAAUUUCGAAAACCAUAUCACUGUACAAGCUUUUUAUUAACACCGACUAAUUAAGAGCCCUUUUAUCUUUGAUCCAGUGUCGAACUUGGCUUCUCACCAAACCAAUCUGGAUUAGUCUUUUCCGUUCAGUUGCAAUUCCAUCCCUCUAAACCUCCACUAUAUCGAGUCCCUUAUUUAUUUAUUUUUUUGGCGUGUGGAUUUGAGUUGGAGCAACCAAACCUCUUCAUAAUUUCGACGACACGUUCCGUCUCACAACGAUCAAACGUCGCCAGAGUUCUCCUAAUUCAACGUUGCUGUAUCAUUAUCGGCUCAAUCUUUCAGCCAUCAUGGCUGGGUUAGCAGCAACGUCUUCUUCCUUCCACUACCAAUGGGCUUAUGAUGUCUUUAUCAAUUUUAGAUGUGAAGAUACUCAUUAUGGUUUUACAGGAAAUUUGUAUCAUUCUCUAAGUCAAAAGGGAAUUCUCACCUUCCUUGAUGAUGAGGAACCAAGAAGAGGUGAUGAAAUUACCCCAGCACUUCUCACAACAAUUGAAAAUUUGAGGAUGGCCGUUAUUGUAUUUUCUAAGAACUAUGGUUCCUCAUCAUUUUGUCCCAAUGAGCUUCUUAAGAUCUUUCAGUGAAUUAAGAGAAACAGUCGGUUGGUUUUGCCAAUUUUUUAUGAUGUGGAGCUUUCAGAAGUAUGGCAUCAAAAGGAAAAUUAUGAACAAGCACUACCAAUGCAUAAGAAAAGCCUCAGGGCUGAUGAGGAGAAGAGACCAAGUCGGAAAUUUGCAUUGCAUGAAGUGUCUAACAUUUCUGGCUUCCAUUUUGAUCCAAGAAAAACCAAUUACAGGCCCUUAGUUGCUGAUAAUUUUGAAAGCAUGUACUUUCUUCAUGACAUCAAAGAAAACUCAAGCAAAAUUGGCCUACAAAAAAUGCAAGAGAGAAUGAUUUCCAAGAUUAUAG